UGAACUUAAGCAUAUCAAUAAGCGGAGGAA
rnacentral:ncRNA from 2 species